CCUACGGGGGGCUGCAGUGGGGAAUAUUGGACAAUGGGGGCAACCCUGAUCCAGCCAUGCCGCGUGUGUGAAGAAGGCCCUCGGGUUGUAAAGCACUUUCAGUGAGGAAGAACGCCUGGUGGUUAAUACCCAUCAGGAAAGACAUCACUCACAGAAGAAGCACCGGCUAACUCCGUGCCAGCAGCCGCGGUAAUACGGGGGGUGCGAGCGUUACUCGGAAUUACUGGGCGUAAAGCGCGCGUAGGUGGCUUGAUAAGCCGGUUGUGAAAGCCCCGGGCUCAACCUGGGAACGGCAUCCGGAACUGUCAAGCUAGAGUGCAGGAGAGGAAGGUAGAAUUCCCGGUGUAGCGGUGAAAUGCGUAGAGAUCGGGAGGAAUACCAGUGGCGAAGGCGGCCUUCUGGACUGACACUGACACUGAGGUGCGAAAGCGUGGGUAGCAAACAGGAUUAGAUACCCUUGUAGUC
rnacentral:rRNA from 1 species